CAGCUAACGCAUUAAGUUAUCCGCCUGGGGAGUACGGCCGCAAGGUUAAAACUCAAAGGAAUUGACGGGGGCCUGCACAAGCGUGGACAGUGGUUUAAUUCGAAGCAACGCGCAGAACCUUACCAGCGUUUGACAUGGUAGGACGACUUCCAGAGAUGGAUUUCUUCCCUUCGGGGACCUACACACAGGUGCUGCAUGGCUGUCGUCAGCUCGUGUCGUGAGAUGUUGGGUUAAGUCCCGCAACGAGCGCAACCCUCGACUUUAGUUACCAUCAUUAAGUUGGGUACUUUAAAGUAACCGCCGGUGAUAAGCCGGAGGAAGGUGGGGAUGACGUCAAGUCCUCAUGGCCCUUACGCGCUGGGCUACACACGUGCUACAAUGGCAAGUACAGUGGGCAGCAAUCCCGCGAGGGUGAGCUAAUCUCCAAAACUUGUUCAGUUCGGAUUGUUCUCUGCAACUCGAGAGCAUGAGGCGGAAUCGCUAAUGAU
rnacentral:rRNA from 1 species